GGUGAUCUUGUAAGGCGUUAGAAGAGGAAUGGCUCGCCUGUAUCGGGUCGACAUCGCACCUUGCACCACGCCCCCGCCUCUUUUGCUAAUUUCUCCAUAAAGUCCAACGGAAUCCCAGAAAUAGAACCGCGCGAAGUCUAAUUCACGAAGGUAACGCGCGUUGUUCAUGUGCUUCAGGACGAGAUCGACGUCUUGAGUGCUGCAUAUUCCUGCGGAAUGAUUAUUCAGCUUAUGAAAUAUUAUAUAAACACGGUGCGACGAUUACAACUGAGAAACUUUGUUAUUAAACUUCCGUUGUAAGUCACGUUCGAACGACAGGAAUCGAUACGACCUUCGUAAAUAUUUUUAAUUUAUGUGAGACAAGUGAAUCUGCAGAAUGAAGAUAAUUGAAUACAAUAGAUAGAUGACGUCGGCAGGUCAAUUGACGUCAAUAGUAGAAUUUCAAACGCAGGAAACACUGGUGACUAUGCGGCGCUAGCUUACGUGCAACAUUUCACACGGGUUCGUUCAAUUGUUAAACGGUAGACCGUUUUGGAAACUGAUUCACAUCGAAUGGCUAUCUUGUUUGUCGACUUUGGAAUUGUUAUCCGGUACGUUGAUACGCUGAGGAAGCGUCGAGUCAAGCUGUCGCUUAUCGAACAAGCAUUCGGUCGAUUUUGCGAAUCCGUAAUUUCAAGUGUAUCCACGUAGAAACUAUAAAUUCUCGGAUGAUACAAGGUGCAUUAAUUAAUCAUCUGUAAAUGCAAACGGAAGUACGCGAAUGUCAAGGAUUGAAGUGUUAAUCGAAAUGUCAAAGGCAUCUUCAUGCUGCUUAGAUCGAUUCAUUAAUAAAACAUGCGUAAGCUAAUUACGAACCGAAACAAUAGGGAAAGCGUUAACACGCAACGAUCUACAUAAUAAUUAAAUUUGCGUUCAACACUCGCAACUAUCUACAACAAUAUACAUACGAUGAUUUUACUCAAACGAGACUUGUAACUUGCAAUUCGCUAAAUAUUGAAUAAAAAUACCCGGAAGUAAACGGAAACAGAUGAAGAAAUACGAAGAACUGUUUGUCUUAGACAAUACUCCUAUCGUCCUAAAAGAACUAACUUCGAAUGUUUAUAAAAAUUCAAGUGCACCGACGAACAUAUUUUAUACUGCUGCGAGAACCGUGAAACCAGAGUCCAGUUUAUUCCCCAUGGAAACCUUGUUUGUUUACCAAACACCUAAUUUCACAUCUAAUUUCUUGAAACUUACACAAUUAAACUCUUUAAAAUACACAAUUCUAUUUGACAUCGAUAAUUCUGGGGUUCGAGUCCAGCUACAGCAACAAUACAAGACAUUUUCCUCGAACAACGAAACAACAUCAGAAGUAAUAUAACAAUAAAUUGAACAAUUCUACAAGCACAUCAGACGUAAAAACGGUAUUUACCAUAAGUAGUAGUGACGUCGAAGAUGCUGUUGUUCUUUUUCCGGAGCAGUCGACCGCUGAGGACCGUGAACGCACAUCUGAGGAAGUAGUUGACGUCGAACAGUAUGUAGAGGAUGAGCAAGAUCGUCAGGGCACAAGCGCAGACCAUUUUUCUGAGGCUGUUUUCUAAGGACAAGACGGCGCAGGGAAAUAGAGCGAGCUGCCGGCGCGCGGACGUCACUGUGCCACAGUUCACGGAAGACUGCGAGCGGCCACGGUGAAAUUCCAAACAGCCGGCUCGCUCCUUACUACAGGAAGACGCAACCGGUUCCUCGCGAGACGAACCUCUAUUUUAAUCAACCAACGGUACACGUUCGUUGCGUUUUCAACGGUCAAAGUACUAGGUCAUCGCGCACGUGACACAAGUCCCAUUCCUUCUGGUCGACUGUCAACAAUGUUCCUCACGUUUGUUUAUUAAUUUUCCGUUGAUUCCGUCGGAUAUUACGUUCGACGUGACACGUGCGUAAUUAGUUUGAUGCCGCGUUGAACGUUGGACGAUUAAAAGCUUAUUGCGAAGAAACGAUGGAUGCGUGUUAUCGGCGAAGCGGUAAAAUGGACGACCGAAUGUCACAUCAUUGGGUAAAUAAAGGUUUUUGUUUUAGCAACGGAGCGCGUUUUCGAUUGUUGCAGUGCGGCGGCGGCUUCGAUUCGCGAGAGAUAGGAAACAUUCGUGAAAAGUUAGUAAUCUUGGAAAAGGAACGAGAAAGAAGAUAAUCUGUUUUCAAUCGAUUUCUUAAUGUCAGUUAUAACUGGUCUUGGAACGUAACCUAAUAUCUUCAGGAAUUAUACACGAGUGCAGUAAAUCCGUUAACGUAUAAACUUAACACUAGAUUUGCGGAACGCGUCGAUUUGACGCGCAUGGAUUUCUAUAAACGCCACUUGGCAAACGUUUACGUCGUUUCAAUCGAUGCAAUCACGCGAGUACGCGUUUUAACGAUCUACUCUUAAAUCCCUAAUUUCCAGGAUGCAAACGAACGAACACCGAUGCUUCUACGAGCAAUAGACAAAACCGUGCUAAAGAAACAACAAAAGAAACUUAAGCCUAUCGUUAAAAAUCAAUGGAACACCGAGGCGGGCUGAUGAAGAACUUGAUGCGACGGAGGACUCGUCAACCAUCUAAAAAGUAUAAUAACGUCUCCGCAUACGUACGUGCACAAUGCUAGAGCUGUCGGGGCUGGCUAAGCCCGCGCCUACAUAAAUGACCGAACUACGAGAUGCGGCUUUCAAGUCGAAACAUUCGGUAGGAGGAGAGACUUUUCCACGCGGUUCGCCCGGAAACCGGCGCAGGCGAUGGAGACCUCGUACAACUUGAAGAAUCGAUUGUAAGUGCGCGCGCAGCUCCUGUUCCCCGGAAAGACGCCGAAACCGGCGAGGUGAACGGAGAAAGAAAAGGAAUGAAAACGUUUACGUCCCGAACCGCCUGGAAUGCGAUUCGCAGUCACGAUCCGCGUGAAGGCACGUCGAGUGCAUUGUAGAAAUAUAAACGCCUCUGUUCUCGGCAUCGGCUCGUAAAAUAGAUUGUUACGAUUCCCGUUUGUCCUGCAAAUGGCGUACCGCGCGAUUCGACCUCGCUUCCGAAACGAUCGUUCCGUCGACGCCGGGCUCGGGUGAUCAACGAUAAAAAAGAUUGUAAAUAACGUGGGUCGCGCGGAACCUCGAUCGACAACGAUCGUCAACGAAGAACAUCCGGCGGAGCCGAUCCACCAAGCUUUGGAAGCUCCGUUUUUACAGUAGCGCUCUAUCCUCGACCUCGGUGGAGUCUUCUUUGAAGUCACCGUGGCAGCCUUUUUGUGUAUAUACUAUGUAAGUACUUACGUAGUCCCGUGAUCGGGAUUCUAUUGAAACACCGAACCGCUCGAACACGCAUUUCUCCGCCGUUUAUCGCGGGGAGGCGAACCCACGGCCGGAAACCACGUCAUCGCGUCGCCUAGCAAAAUAGUUUCUCGUCUAUCUCUCUUUUUGUACUCUUUCUCUUUCUGUAUAUAUGUGUACACAUAUAUAUGUAUGUAUAUAUAUAUAUAUAUAAUAUAUACAUGUACAUAGAUAUAUAUCUAUACACAGGGUAUAUAACCAAACGCGUUACGAGCCAAUACUCACGAACGCAUUGACGUCGACGCGAUCGCCUUUUUUAAACCCUGCUGUACGUAAUCGUCUUUUUUAAACUGCACCGUACAAACAGGCUUUUUAUAAAUUGCGACGCGUUUAUGUACAUUUGUGUAACCUUCGCUGAGACCGCUGGUCGCUGGAAAAUCUUUUUCUCUUAAAUGCCGCGCGACUUGUUUUGCGGAUAACUGGAGGGGACGGGGAUUCUACCGGCGUGUUUCUACGUGUACCGCAACUAUCAACCCUUUGCGCUCGGAGAUUUUAAUAUGUUACGUUCCACGUGUAAAUUAUCGAAUAUUUAUAUUUAAACUGUCGCCUCGGAAGCGAUGUUACGUGUGCGAAGGGUUAAGCACUUGGUCAACCGAACGGGGAGGUUUGAUCCAUUACAAUUAGAAACGCGGUGUCUUUCUAAUUGUUUACUUCGUUUGUUACUUAACGAGUUUCGAAGUGGAAUUGUUCAUAAUUGAGGAUUAUCGCGGUUGACCAAGUGUUAAGUAUUAACCCUUGCGCUCAAUGAGCGACUAUCAGUCUCCAUUCGAUGCAACGCAAUAGAAUCGUCAAAUUCAAAAUUCUAUAUUGAACUUUCUGUAACGUAUCGACGUAUGAAAUAAAAUAAUUAAGUUCCUUCGUCAGCGCAGGACACUUUCUUGCGUUAGUUGCAAAUAGUAUCAUCGAUGCUUCAUCAGUGACGACUAUUUAUAACGAGAAACAUCGUCGAGAGCAAAGCGUCGAUAACAGGAGAAUCAAGUGUCGACUUCGAGGAAUGAUUCGUCGAGUUCGAUCGAGAACUUUAUCCUAAGCUCGAUAUUACGCUAGAAUUCAGGGGUCGAUGGAUUCGUGAACACAGGCUCGCAACAUCUACCGCGGGACACCCUGUAUACGUGCAUCUUGUUUCCCAUAGAUCAGAAGGUACUUUCUUUGACACCGUGUACACGUUCGCGUCCGAUCGUUUCGCAACGAUCUACAAGAGCGCGAUCAAGAUCACGGCCUGUAAAAGCUUUUAAGCGUAACGAUCACUCGUGUCCUGUCGCCUUGAAACGGUUGAACCCGAAGCUGACCCGUGAACAGUCCGAAGAGACCGGUGCGCCCGGCGAGUUCGUCGAACACGUUCGACCUUUAUACUGUCGUGGUUGCGUAGACGGAAGCGGAAACGACGCCAUUCGUGGUGGAAGGCGUAUCCUCCCUUUGUCAGCAAUUGGUCGUCACCGCAGCGGCCUGGCGGAGCAACGCCGACGAGAUUUCAUUGCUCUCUAGCCACCUGGCGACUUCCGGCGGCAUCUCCGGCCUGACGUGCGGCAUCUGCGGUAUAUGCGUGCGGUAAUAUAUGCGAUCAAUUUUAAUAUCAGCCAUUAAUAAAUCAGCCAUUCACUUGGCGAAGUGAUCAACUCUUAUUAGGACGCGAGGAGCAGGACAAUUCGAGGACACUGCGUACAUUGACGCACAGAAGUAUUUGAAAGUGAAACAAUAUUGAAUGAAUAAUUAAUUUUAAAUCAAUUUUAGGAAUCUUGAGAAGCGAACGUGUGUUAUAUGUGUGCCGUUCGAUUCGAAUGGAACGUAUGUGGGUGGAAACAUGGAAAUUUUGAAAUAUUCUAUAUCCGGUAACAUUUCCAUUAAUAUAAUUCAAAUGUUUACGUAGAUGUUUGCUAUGUUUCUAUCAAUAUAGAUAUAUUGGCAAUCAUUUCCAUCAAUAUAUCGACACAAUCAGUUCCAUUACAGAUGUGUUGAUCAAGUGUUUCGACAUUGAAGUUUGGGAGUCUUCGGAAUGCGGAGUUGGUCACCGACUUGUGAACGACGAAAGUGGUUUCUCCAGUAUCAGAUCAUUUCGUGCGUAUCUAAUCUUGUUUCGUGAUAGAACUUUCUAAAUGUUCCGCUGGAUCACCGAAUUCCUUAUGACCAUUUCGAAUGGCGAGUCUCGUAAUUAGGUUCCACGAUACCGUGGUGUUGCGCGGAUUGCGCGAAAUACGACGUUGGUUACGAAAUGAUCAGACACAAUCAGAAAUCUUUCGUUCGGAAUGGAGUGUACCUGAGUGACGCCUGCCUCCACGUUACCGGUCUGUUUCACUCCUCGUUCCAUGAGGGAUCCGAUCACAGCCUCGGCGCUACAAUCCAACAGUCUUUGCCUGCAAAUCGCGAUCGCCCGGAUGAACCCGUCGUUAGGGGUGAUGAACCUGUGCUCCAUGAACACCGACCUCUCGUCCCAAUAUAUUAUCUGAAAGAGGAGAAUGAUUCGAAUCAAUUAAGAAAUUAUGUUAAUGCCGAGAUUGAAUUAAGUUGAUCAUUAGAUUUUUAAUGAAAUGAAUCGUCCAGGUUCGUCAGUUCUUAAUGUUCCAAUGUUUAAUUCUAUUGAUUGACCCAGUUUAACGAACCUUCAAUUCAAUCUAUCGUUCAAUCUUUAAUGCAACUAAUUGUCUGAUUCUUAAUCAACUCAGCUAGACACAUGCAAAUCGUUAUAUCCUCUUAUUGACUGCACAUAGAUUUUUUCUUUGGUUUAUGUUAGUAUUAUCGUGGAAACCUGUUAAAGGGAACUUCAUCUUGCACACAUUUCCGAGUAUUUUUAGCGUCCACGCCAAUCAGUGUGAUGCAAUACUUACUAUCAGUACUAUAAUUGGCAUUAUUAUCAACGUUUCUUGUUUUCACGACAGUUAUUAUUCUUAUUAUUCCUGUCGCACAAGCGAGCAUCGUAAGCACCAAGCUAUAUUCACUGAUUUAUACAAUGCACUGUAAAAACGAAGUGCAGUCGAGGAUUACGCUGAGAAUGUUAAAGGUAAGUGAAAGAUACGAUGAAGUAUAAACAAACUUAAUAAGAACAUAGAAAAAUCCUGUAAAAACACGACGAUGGAUAAAGAAUUCAAACAAUCUUCCGAGGAAUAACAAAGUAGUCACACUAAGUCUUUCGAUCCUGUCGAACUGUCAAUAAAUCAUGUCGCAACGACACAUGCAAAAUAUUCCUUAGAAAGAAGCCAUUUCCUGCGACAAUGAUUCGCAAAUAAUAUUAAUGACUGCUCGAGGAAAUACGGUCGCGCAAUAUCUUCCAGCCGGUUCCAUAAAAAGCACGAGACACCCGACCGAGGAAUAGAACAAUUAAAUCUUCGUUUUACGACAAACCGUCUGAUUGUCUACGAUUUCAUAUUCCGUGUACACGGCCAUCAAAUUGAUCGCUAAGAUGGAUAGAAUGCAUCGUCCGAGAUGCGUCACGCGCUCGCUUUGUGCAUACGAAACUGUAAUCGCCGGUCGGAUCUGUCAUUCGAAGCCGGAAAUCGGUUUCGGCGCGAGGCAUUCGCCCCGAACAGAGCAAAAGAUCAAAUUUUAUCUGCAAGCAAAACGAACAGAAUUCUGCGCCUAUAUUCCUGAAUUAUUAUACAAAU